AACGAACGCUGGCGGCAUGCCUAACACAUGCAAGUCGAACGAGACCUUCGGGUCUAGUGGCGCACGGGUGCGUAACGCGUGGGAACCUGCCCUUAGGUUCGGAAUAACUCCCCGAAAGGGGUGCUAAUACCGGAUAAUGUCUUCGGACCAAAGAUUUAUCGCCUUUGGAUGGGCCCGCGUUGGAUUAGCUAGUUGGUAGGGUAAAAGCCUACCACGGCGACGAUCCAUAGCUGGUCUGAGAGGAUGAUCAGCCACACUGGGACUGAGACACGGCCCAGACUCCUACGGGAGGCAGCAGUGGGGAAUAUUGGACAAUGGGCGAAAGCCUGACCCAGCAAUGCCGCGUGAGUGAUGAAGGCCUUAGGGUUGUAAAGCUCUUUUACCCGGGAUGAUAAUGACAGUACCGGGAGAAUAAGCUCCGGCUAACUCCGUG
rnacentral:rRNA from 1 species